AAAAAAUAAAAAGAGGCGGAACAGCUCCCUGAGGAAAAAAAAAAAAGACUUGCAUUGUUGCCUAAUGUGUGGUCUACAAUUGAGACUGAUUCAUGUGCUGAGGAGAAGAAUGUGUAUUCUGCUGUCACUGGAUGAGAUGUUUUGCAGAGGAGUCCCUCCCUGUGUCCACCACCAUCACAAGCCCAAGGCAAGUACUGCUAGAGGGCUGCCUAUGAUCAGAUCUUCUGAGAACAUCAGAGAAAGACUGUCCUUGCAAUCUACACUACAGCAAAACUUCAGGACCUUGAACUUCAGGUUCAUAAUCUCACAACUGAGAAGGAUCCUUCCACACUCUUGGAACAGUGCACCCAUUGGAACUCUGAAGGUUAAGCUCACCAGGAAAGUUUCUCUCCAGAAGAAGAUAACACCCUUAAUGUGAACAGCUUUUCCCAAAAUCACAGAUUGAAACUUCUCUACAAUCACAAGACUCUUAUCUUUGAAUAUUUUCCCUUGGUUAUGCUUCUGUGAACAAUAGACGUGAAAAGGGAGUCUGUUGUGUGCACUUAUGGGGCACACUUUUAUGUGUGAAGGAUUUUUCAGCCAGCCUUAUAUAUGGAUGACCUUAUAGUUUAAGAGAUAAAAGACAAAGACCC
rnacentral:lncRNA from 1 species